rnacentral:rRNA from 1 species
GAUGAACGCUGGCGGCGUGCUUAACACAUGCAAGUCGAACGGAAAGGCCCAAGCUUGCUUGGGUACUCGAGUGGCGAACGGGUGAGUAACACGUGGGUGAUCUGCCCUGCACUUCGGGAUAAGCCUGGGAAACUGGGUCUAAUACCGGAUAGGACCACUUCUUGGAUGUUGUGGUGGAAAGUUUUUUCGGUGUGGGAUGAGCUCGCGGCCUAUCAGCUUGUUGGUGGGGUAAUGGCCUACCAAGGCGUCGACGGGUAGCCGGCCUGAGAGGGUGUACGGCCGCAUUGGGACUGAGGGACGGCACAGGCUCCUACGGGAGGCAGAAGUGGGGAAUAUUGCACAAUGGGCGCAAGCCUGAUGCAGCGACGCCGCGUGGGGGAUGACGGCCUUCGGGUUGUAAACUCCUUUCGCUAGGGACGAAGCGUUUUGUGACGGUACCUGGAGAAGAAGCACCGGCUAACUACGUG